AUGAAAGGCUAGCUUCUACGAAAUUGCACAUUUAAUCUGCGGAAAGUUAAAAAGGAACAAACAACAAUCGUCAAACGUCUUAUAUAUAAGUGAAGUAGUAACUUAAAGCAGUCAUUAGCUAUAAGUGCUUCAAAAUCACAAUCACAUCAUCAUCAACUUCUUCAAUCAAACAGUUCUGAGUUUCCGCCAUGUCUGCAAUCCCUAACUUUCUUUCAAGCUCCAAAUCGACCCUUCGUUGCUGCAGCAAGUCUCAGAAUCCUCGAGAAAAACCCAGUUUCAAAACCCGUUGUUCCUCGAUGGCGAAGCAACAGAAAACUAGGUUUUACAUCCUCAGACGUUGUAUCACCAUGCUUUUGUGUUGGCACGAACCGUCAUGAGAUCGUCUUCGUUACUGUUUCAGUUGAUCGCCUCUAGUUUAGUUAGUUAGGUUAAGAGACAAAACAUAACCCUGUUUUCUUUUCGGACAUAGUUAGAAGACAAAUCUGGGUUUCGAGAUUGAGGAGAGCUGUGGGAUAUUUGAGGAGGAGAAGUUCGUGAAAUUCAAGUGCUGCCGCUGCCGGCGGCGAUGUUUUCUUCGUCUCGAUAUCCUGGGAAACUUAGAUUAGUUAUAUGAUUAGGAUGGGAUUGAAGAAAAAAGAGGUUUUCGAGGGGCAUUUUUUUGAUAAAUACAAAGUGUAACUUCUUUAAUUUUUACAAGUAACUAAAAAGAGAAUCUAGAAGAAAAUCAAAUUCUAAUACUCGGAGUCUUCCGCUGAAGGGAAGAGUUGUUUAUGGGCCGGGCUGUUUAUUUAUCUCGAUUUGCCCGACUCAAGAUGGACUGGACAUGAGUUUACAUCGCUUAAUCUACGGUCAGUUCGACUUAUUUUAUUAUAUUUUAUAUUAAUAUUUAUAUAUUUCUAGAUUUAAAAUAAAAUAAAAAUAAUUAUUUUUUAAGCAAUAAGAUGAGCUUUUUAGGCUGAUUUUUAGUUUCUUUUUUUCAAAAGUGCUUAAAAUUUCAGUCAAAAGCAACCUGUUCUGCACAGCUUUUCUUUCAAAAGUAUUUUUUUUAAGCAAUGAAGAACAGACUCUUAGAUGAAUUAGGCUUGAGCCUGAGUUUGGAAAUUUUCUAAAUUAGAUUGCGAUCCGUCUUGGUUCAUGAACAUCUUUAUUCCAAAGUGUUUCCAAAUACAUGAAAAAAAAAAUUAUUGUUUGAUCGAUGGAAUUUAAUACUAUCUGAGAAUACAUUUUACUAAAUUAUUUUCAUAUUAUAAUAUUUUAUUUUACUAAUUAAUUAAUGUAUUUCUCUAUAUUAAUUUUUCUCGUCAUAUAAUAAUAAGUAUAGCUGAAAUGUUAUUUGGAGAAUAUAUUAAAAAUAUUUAGAGAGUUUCACCAAAAAUUUUUCAAGAGUUUAAUUAAUUAAUAUUUAAUUUCGAUUUAAAUAAAAUGAAUCACAAACAUUAAAAUGAGGGUAAAAUUGCCAAAAAAUUUUACAUUAUUAUUGGUAUAUAAGUUUAUGUAAGGAAGAGGUGGUAUUGAAAUAUGUCAAUGUUAACGGCGCCACUUUUUGCAACCACAAAAAAGUGUCGUGACUUCAAAAUAAGAAAACUACCGUUGUUUCCUCUAUUUGCUAUAGUGAAUUACAGUCUUAAAUGUUAAAGUUA